rnacentral:tRNA from 1 species
GCCUUCAUGGUGUAACGUUAGCACACUUGGCAUAUAUUCGAGAGGUCCAGGUUCGAGUCCCGGUGAGGGCA